rnacentral:rRNA from 1 species
AUCAACUUUCGAUGGUAGGAUAGAGGCCUACCAUGGUGGUAACGGGUAACGGGGUGUUAGGGCACGACACCGGAGAGGGAGCCUGAGAAACGGCUACCACAUCCAAGGAUGGCAGCAGGCGCGCAAAUUACCCAAUCCCGACACGGGGAGGUAGUGACAAUAAAUAACAAUACGGGGUUCUUUCGGAUCUCGUAAUUGGAAUGAGUACAAUUUAAAUCUCUUAACGGGGAACAAUUGGAGGGCAAGUCUGGUGCCAGCAGCCGCGGUAAUUCCAGCUCCAAUAGCGUAUAUUAAAGUUGUUGCAGUUAAAAAGCUCGUAGUUGAAUUUCGGGGUUAGUAGGUUGGUCAUGCCUCUGGUAUGUACUGGUCUCACUGAUUCCUCCUUCCUGAUGAACCGUAAUGCCAUUAAUUUGGUGUUGCGGGGAAUUUGGACUGUUACUUUGAAAAAAUUAGAGUGUUUAAAGCAAGCUAACGCUUGAAUACAUUAGCAUGGAAUAAUGAAAUAGGACGUUCGAUCCUAUUUUGUUGGUUUCUAGGAUUGACGUAAUGAUUAAUAGGGAUAGUUGGGGGCAUUAGUAUUCAAUUGUCAGAGGUGAAAUUCUUGGAUUUAUUGAAGACUAACUACUGCGAAAGCAUUUGCCAAGGAUGUUUUCAUUAAUCAAGAACGAAAGUUAGGGGAUCGAAGACGAUCAGAUACCGUCGUAGUCUUAACCAUAAACUAUGCCGACUAGGGAUCGGAUGAUGUUAAUUUUUUAAUGACUCAUUCGGCGCCUUACGGGAAACCAAAGUGUUUGGGUUC